rnacentral:rRNA from 1 species
GAUGAACGCUGGCGGCGUGCCUAAUACAUGCAAGUCGAGCGAACAGACGAGGAGCUUGCUCCUUUGACGUUAGCGGCGGACGGGUGAGUAACACGUAGGUAACCUACCUAUAAGACUGGGAUAACUUCGGGAAACCGGAGCUAAUACCGGAUAAUAUUUCGAACCGCAUGGUUCGAUAGUGAAAGACGGCUUUACUAUCACUUAUAGAUGGACCCGCGCCGUAUUAGCUAGUUGGUAAGGUAACGGCUUACCAAGGCAACGAUACGUAGCCGACCUGAGAGGGUGAUCGGCCACACUGGAACUGAGACACGGUCCAGACUCCUACGGGAGGCAGCAGUAGGGAAUCUUCCGCAAUGGGCGAAAGCCUGACGGAGCAACGCCGCGUGAGUGAUGAAGGUCUUCGGAUCGUAAAACUCUGUUAUUAGGGAAGAACAAACGUGUAAGUAACUGUGCACGUCUUGACGGUACCUAAUCAGAAAGCCACGGCUAACUACGUG